UAGGGAAUCUUCCACAAUGGACGCAAGUCUGAUGGAGCAACGCCGCGUGAGUGAAGAAGGUCUUCGGACCGUAAAACUCUGUUGUUAGAGAAGAACACGAGUGAGAGUAACUGUUCAUUCGAUGACGGUAUCUAACCAGCAAGUCACGGCUAACUACGUGCCGG
rnacentral:rRNA from 1 species